GGAACGCAGCCUUCCCUGAACUCCGAGGAACUUUGGUCUUUUACGUGAAGAUGUUUACGGUCAAUUUACAUUUUGCUGCCAAAGCACUGAGCGCUGCUGGGUUCGUUUCCCCAGACCUCGCUAAUGAAAAGCCGCUUGACAUCCCACCUUCCCUGCGGUGGCAGGAGGCUCCCCUGAUGAAAACAAUACAGAGCCGCUUGCUCCUGUGCUCACUCUAAACCUAAACAAUAAAUACUAAACGCCUAAAUAUUUUGCUUGCCCUGUAGGUCGCAGCUCUUGGAUAACGCAACGUUAACACCUACGAAUUAAGGCAGAGUUAAAACAAAAGGCAAGCGGCGCAUAAGGAGGAAAGAAUUAACUUUUCGCAGGUUUAUGUACGGCCUGGUGUGGCAGAGUUUUUUGGGAUGUGCACUUCCAAGCUUCCCAUCCCGUGGAAGUGAAUCCAAGGCUCGGUGUGUCAGGAAGGAGAUGGUGGGUCGGCCCCUAAGUCAGAGGCUGCGUCAAAGACCUUCUCAGCCUGCAGCUUGACCAGAUAAAACAAAAACCCCAUCGUCUGGAGGAUUUGUGGGGCUGCCCCAACAUGCUGGUGGACAAACACAAAGGGAUAAAUGUCCUAGGACAGACCCAAACCGCAGUGACUGGAUAUGUGUACACAGUGGAGACAAAAGCCUGUGGAGGCGGCUCCAGCAGAUUAGGACUGGGUUUGAUCUAGUGAGGUUCCACAGCUCCAACAAACAGAAACUGUUUAUGAAAUGUCUCAGUCUGGAAAAGCAAAUCCGCCUUCUCCAGCGAGCCGUCAGCAGCGUUCCUCUGCCAAGCGCUAUUUCGAGGCACAGUCCCUGUCUGCUCUGCCAGCGACGACGGCCAACGCUUCCUUCAAGUUUAUUUGGAUGCCAAGCGCUCCAAGAUUCCCGUAAACACGCACGACUUUUCCUCAGGGUAAUUCCUGACAGGGGCCAGCACUCCUGUAGGUACCACCAGCUACACCUGAGCAUCCCUCCCAUCACAGGGUGAAUGACCCUGCUCACCGGCUGAUUUCUGGGGGGGACAAAAGCCAUUGUAGCUUCUGAAGUGGGAGCUGUGGAUCUGCUCCCGUUUGAAAAAUUGUUAAUUGUUAACAAUUGUGAGUGGAGCCAACUUCCAACUGGUUCCAUGCAGUGACAUCCUCCAGGUGAUAUUUACAGGAUGAGGCUCUCAGCUCCAGUCUCUGUUCUCCAAAUGCCCUGGGCAGUCACUCCUUUUAUUUCUCCCUGCAUUCUGAAGUGUAUUUUGCCACCACAGAAAUGGAAUAUGGCUGUUUGUCCUCCUCCAACAUAGUGGAACAUAAGUUCCAGUUUACCUAAAGGACAGAAAAGGUUCAUUUUGCAAGCACAGAGCAUGACAGCUCUAAAAAUACCAAUUCAGACACCUACUUGAACACAUACAUUCCUUUCCCUUUACUAAUUUAAACCUAAUAGAUCACACUGAAAAAUUAUCCUUCAAUACAUCACGUAACCUGAGGGGGGAAAUCUCUUAUCAGAGCAUGGCUCACUUCCUAAGCUGGGAGAGAAGGAUCCCUGCCUCAAUCUUUGUUCCUUGGUGAUUAACUCAUUUGUUGCAAACAGCUGAGUAAGAUCGAGAAAAAAACCCACCAAACCCCAAGGAUCCUUAUUGUAAGUGAUGGACUCCAGCUUUGGGAUUAAAAACAGGGAAAACGAGUCUGCUCCCUGUGCUGUCUGGACCUGGCAGAACAAUGGAGUGUUGUGGGCAAAGGAGGAGUCGUGGUGAGGUCAGGAAACAAAAUCUGUUGUUGUUUUCUUUUUUUUCACUUAUGCAAGGAAUAAUUUUCUUUCAAUGUGGCAUUUAUUUGGGAUCCAGUGCGAACGUGGGGGGGAAGGGAUGAGAAGUGUUUUCAGUAUUCUGAGGAAAGACAAUUUAUCUGUUCUGUAACAUGCUGUGCUUUAGAGAGCAGCAAGUCCUGCCUGACAUUCUUUGGGAACCUAAAGAUGCAUGUCCCAUUAAAUUGGGAUUAUUUUAACCAGCCUUGCUAAACUGUCUUUCCAGUGUGGCUUGGCAAAACUUGUCCUGGCAUGUCUGCACAGCAGUUCCUCGGGAAUAGUUCUGGAUGGCUAAAGGCUGUGUAUUGACUGGCAGGGGAUGAUAUCAGGGAUGCUGAUUGGGCCCUGUGGCAUGUGGAUUUCCACACCAAAAUAGGAUUACAACCUUCCUGAUUAAGGGACACAGAGUAAUUAACACUCCAGACACAAGCAGUCUGCCCCCUCUGCCCACCCAUGGAAGGAAAACAGGGGUCACUUGGAACAACAGUUCCCUUUAACCACUCAACCAAAGAGCUCCACACCAUUUAUGGCCACUAAUUAAUCCAAGUGCUCCACUGCUGCCCCAUUACCCCGGUAUGGAGGACAGCAGCAGUGCUGGCAACUGGAAGGCAGAAGUCACAGAGUUGCAUUUUUGUACCAAAAUGCACCUAUUAGAAAACAGGUACAGAGGCUCCACAGCUUUGUACAUGUACACACAAGUAUGUAUAUGCAUCUGAGAAAUGUUUUGAAGAUUCUGUUGCUUUUAGAAGCAGUGGGACCGGUGCCUGGGGAUACGAGCUAUCAAAAGCCUUUGCAUUGGCUUCCCCUCACCAGGCCCUUUGGGAAGGAACACUGGAAGAGAUGAAAUGUUUCAUAAAUCUGUCAGAACUUAAAACCUUGUUCCCCAGACAGCAGCCCCCGAAGGGAGGUGGCAUUUGAUCCUCCAGUAGCCAUAGGAGCAAUGUCCCCAAUGGUGCAGCUCCUGUCUGUCCAGAGGAGUGUAAUUCCACACCCCUCACCUCGUGCCCGUGGAGUCAGGCUCAGCAUUCAUAAAUAAAUGAAUUUAUUCAGAUUUAUUACCUGCCGCCCAUCAGAAAAAAGGAGAGACAGGCUUCCCACUAAAGGAAUAAUGUAAGUAGGAGGUUGGUGUUGGGGAAGAGGUUCACUGGCCACACAGACAAAUCCAGAGUCUGUUAGUCCCAGAGACCACACCCCAAGUUCCAAACAGCUCUUGUGAUAAGGAAGGGAGAGGGCAGAAAAAAGAAACUCAGCUUGUUUGCUGAGGAAACUUAGAGCAGAAAGUAUUUUGAGCUGACAAGACCCAAGCACAAAUCAAUGGAAACUUAAUAAGUUUAGGAUGGACUGUAAGUUUUCAUUUAAAUAAAUCUGCCAUGUACUGAUACCACAUACUUUGCUUACCGAAAGUAAAAGCUGCCUUAUUUAUAUAAAUACCUCUAUACCAGCACAGCUGCACCACAGUCCUGGGACAAGGCUCCCGAGAUGAGAUUACUAGAGGAGAGAAAUCCAAAAAUGUACUAGAAAAUGUCCUUAUUCCCAGUAGCUGGCAGAAAACUUGUGAAACGCAGCUAAAAAAUUCAAUCGCUUGUAGUGCUAAAUUCGUGAAGGAAAUUCUAAGUCUUCACUGACACAAAAGGAUUCUGUUCCAGAAAUAACACCAGGGACAGGCCCCUGUCUAUUAUUUCACAGUGUCGAGCAAGCCCAUGUAGGGUGUGCUGGGAAGCACAGAAUUCCAUGAUCCCUGAUACUGACAGAGAGCGAGGAAAAGUCUGGAGAGCGUGAGCUGGCUCUUUGGUGAGCCUGUGUUGUCACAAAGGCCUCUCUACACAGAGCUGGAAAGAUCUGGAGCAAAGAGCCAACAGUCCAGUGCAACCUAUAUUUUUAACAUCAUCCAGUCUCAUUUUGGAGGCUUUGAAAAGGGCUCUGGCAUGGGAAGAGGAAGGGGGGACGUCACCCCCAGAGCAGUGCAAACCCUCACGUACAGACAGCACCAAGGGGAAGGGACUCGUGGUGACUUCACCGGGGACAUGGCAAGAAUAUCUGCAGUUUUGUUGCUCAUGGGUUGUUGUUGUUGCCCCACCUUGUUGAAACUCUGCUCUCUGGGCACUGAGAAAAAGGGAGGAGGCAGGAAAGACUCCAAAUCUGUGACACACUUCAGAGCUUACCCAGUGACUGCAAUUAUUAUUCAUGAUUUCUCUAGGGGCUAAUACUACCAGAUGCACAAGCCCAUUUUCUUCAGCAUUUGAUCGGCAGCUGGAGCUGCAGCCCCAGUCCUGCUCCCCCUGACACUGUUGUGCAGCGAAGGGAAUCUCUGAGAAGCCAAGAGAAUGACAUCAAAUGGCGAUAAUUUGCCUUCAGUGCAAGUUAAAUUGUCUGAAAGGCAGCUGUGUGUUUCAAUAGCCUUGUGCUUGUCCAAGCAUGACCACAGAACCAGCAGUUUGCUCAGAGGUCUCCUUUAAUAACCAUUUGUUACUGGAAGACAAUACAAACACAGACUGUCACAGAUGGAAGGUUUUUUCCAACUGUAAAUGUAAGUAAUUGAGUCUAGAGAAGUGGUUAUUCCUACUCAAAUACUAGAAGCUGGAGUGCUGGAAUUCUUGUGGAGUCUGCUUAUCUUAUUCCUGUGCCAGUAAGGAAUAUUCCAUUUCCCCCCUUGCUUUCCAAAUGACUACCUUUAGUCAUUUCAUGUCCACUGGUGCAUAAUGUCCUUAUUUCCCCAUAAUUUACACUUUGUUGCACGAGAGGAAAAUUGCUCUGUGCUGGUGUGAACAGAGAUGUACAAAUUUCCACGCCCGGUCCCACAGAUGUUUUCCAAGGAACAGCUGCAAGAACAUUUCCAGCAUAGUUGUGUCUUAAGCUACCGUUUCCAGGCACGUUUCACUAACAUCCCCUUGACACUUGCCAGAAGAGAUAAUUCAGAUACACUUUCUCAGAUGUACCCUCAGUGAACAUGAUCCUGAUCCACAUGGAAAAGUGAAAAUCACUGUUACAGGGCGGCAAACGAUCCAUGGGAAAAGGCACGGCUACAAGGGGCACAGCAACACCACACAUUUGGCAAGGCUGUGAACUCCUGCGGUGCUGAUAUCAACUCCCUGGGACAUAAACUACCCACUUAUUAAUGAUGAUGUCUACAGUGGAGUGUAACCACAGUCAGCUGAUUAAAAGGAACGGACAAAAAGGAAGGAAUUUUGAUGUUCUGGAAGGGAAAAAUGGAAGAAAACCUGUAUAUUAAUUGACACCCCUGUGUCAUUCACGCUGCCAAUACUAAAAGGUAAAAUUGGGAAUGCUGUUGAGGAGGAGGCACAUCCCCAUCUGCUGCUGGUGCUCCUGCAUGCUGUGACAGCCUUUUCUGACUAAUCAUCUAUUUUCUAGGAAGAAUGCUGGAUUUACAGGCUGAACAAUCCCAAUGCACAUGGACACCUCCUAUCCAGCCUCAUAUCCACCAGCACCCCCAAGUCCUUCUUGUCAGGGCGAGAUCCCUUUUCCACAUUUCAGUUUUUGGCUGUGAACCCCUGCAACCAAAGUGUUCUUCCUUGGCUGACAUGGCCCUUGGGAGUCUUUCCACCGCUCCAAGACAUCCAGCUUUUGUCCAUGGCAUCAAGUCCCACACAAAACACCUGCCUGCCACUGGACAGUGGCUGUGCUCCAGGUGUGCCUCAUUGCACUCACCAAGGUCAUUUCUUUUCCCUAGGUUUAAUAUUGCCUCUUUCGGUCUCUCCCUGGACAAACACAUGGAAUUCUUGCUGGCUGCCUCUCUCUCUUUCCCAGCAGUGUCUCUCUAAAUCCCUUGGUUGUGGUGACUGCCACAAACUACCAGCGGGAUCUUGGAAAACUGCCACAGCUUUACAGACUUCUUAAACGCCGACUCUUAAGCAACGAGUCCCAGAAGAAUUAGAAUGGAAUUGUGAAAGCGAGAUAAAAAUUCUGGCGGGACUUGCCCUUCUCUGCACCUUCUGAGUUUGAAAAGUCAAGAUGAAAAUUAAUAAAAAUGGAAGGGAGCAGUACAUGGCAGGCUUGGAUUCCAAGAGCAGUUCACCCUAUGCAUAGAGCAGCAAAAAUAGCCUUUCAUUUCAGUCUUAUAAGCUACUAGGGAAAGGGUUAAAAAAAGCCUGUGACAGAUGAAUUUUUAGCAAACCGAUUCAGAGUUAAU